rnacentral:rRNA from 1 species
AGCCUGAACGCUGGCGGCGUGGCUAAGACAUGCAAGUCGUACGGGUGUAGCAAUACACCAGUGGCGCACGGGUGAGUAAUGUAUAGCUAACGUACCCCGAAUUCUGGGAUAGCCAAUCGAAAGAUUGGGUAAUACCAGAUGAUAUCCUGAUGUCGAAUGGCAUUAGGCUCAAAGGGCAACUGAUUUGGGAUCGGGCUAUAUUGUAUCAGCUAGUUGGUGAGGUAAUGGCUCACCAAGGCAAUGACGCAUAGCCGGACUGAGAGGUCGGCCGGCCACAUCGAAACUGAGACACUGUUCGGACUCCUACGGGGGGCUGCAGUAACGAAUCUUCCGCAAUGCACGAAAGUGUGACGGAGCGACGCCGCGUGUGGGACGAGUCCUUCGGGAUGUAACCACUGUCAAGAGAAAGAAGUUCUGACCUACUCUAAAGGAGGGCGACUAACUCUGUGCCAGCAGCCGC